rnacentral:lncRNA from 1 species
CUAUGAUCUGCUGUUGUUGUUUUCUGUUUUUUCUUCUUACAAUCCCUUAACUAUAUACUUGGGACUCUUUCCCUUGUGCAUUUUUAGCAUGCUGCAUGCAUUUGACGUAGUCAAACUGAGUGCUUGAGAUAAGUAUUUAAAGUAACAAAAUGAAUUUCCUCUUUUAUCUUUCAGACUUUGUGUAAUGACUGGGGGGAAAAGAAAAAAACCACAAGGAAAAAAGGCGAGCAGGUGAAAUGUUUUAUAUGAAGCCUAGAACUGUAAGGAAAUAUACUCUUAUGUAUUAUUUUCCGAUCACCAUAAUGUCAGUGGGGUGAAAGGCUUCAGAGUGGUUUACUUCUGAAGAAUCACUUGCCUGGAUUUCAGCAGCUGCCUUUGGGAAGAGCCUGGAACAACACAUCUGCUGACACCCCUGUGGUAAACAAAGGGAGGCAUUUUUUUCAAGCAGAUUUUGGUUUGGUGCAGUGCUUGGAACAAAACAAGAGCAAACAAAACCCAACAGCACUAAAUGCUGCACUCUUGCUGCAUGGUGGAAGUAACUUGAGGACUUUACUGAGAGUCUCAGCCUUCAGCCUCGCAAUACACCUUCUCUAACAUGAGGAUCGAUCAGCUUGCUUUCAUAGCCACAUAGAGGCAAACCAGACUCACCAGGAUCUGAUGUUGAAAAGGAAGAAGUUUCUCAGGUAUAAUUAACCUGUGGAAUGCACUACUGUGAGAUGCUCUUGAAAUGCUGUCAUUAAUAGCAUCUGUCUUCAUAAGUUAGGGCAUCAGUGACUUCAUAGCUGAAAGCGAGAAGCAAUGUGUAGUAUCCCAUCAUGCCAUGUCUCUGCUGGAUGAACCGAGUGUGGUCGGAGAGACUUUUGGAGUGAUGGUCCCUGCUGGAGUUAAAGGAAGUUUUUGUUCCCAAAACCAGAAGGAAGGAAGUGGAAGAGGGAGCAGCAUGAAGAUACCACAAGAAUGGGAUAAGGAAGGGAAGAACUGCACUUGGGAGAGGCGCUACCGAGGAGAAAGAGCUGUCAGAAACACAAACCCCAUGCUCAGCUGGCUGAGUGAGGACCUGACCACAGAGAUGGAGAGGAAAUGUGGGACAGUG